CUCUCAGCAGCCCGUUUCAGGUUAUCCACCAUUGUGUCGUAAUGAAUCCGACAAAGAACUUUCUCCUCCACCAGCCCGAACUCCUCGCCUGUGGACAGCUGACGUUUGCAGGAGAAGCAGGCAAAGCAGGCCAGAUGAAAGAUCUCGCCAGCAGAAGACAGAAUACAGAUAGGCUGAACCGUGUCCAAAAGAUAACCACUAAACGUGUCAGACACGGCUGUAAAACUCUCAGCACAAACAAACCACUUGUAAUACUCUGAGCUGCAGGUCGACAGGAAAUGUCUGCUGAUAAACUGUGCUGAUAGGAUCCAUAAACUCUUGAUUUUAUCCAACAAAGUGUGUAAUGCAUGACUUGAUAAACAACCCUGCGGCGAUACAAACCAACAGCAAGUACACAGAGCCUGCUAUAUAAUGAAGUGAUAUUUUGACUGGACGGGGCUGACCAUGCCGUGUGUUUUUGACCCAGACAUCACAUUCGGGUGACCAAAGAGAGGGUUCCGGUGUUGAGAGGACUAGGAGAGACUAAUGCUCUGCAGAUGGCCAGUCACGGCCCUUUUUUGGCCUGAAUUUGAGCCCCCCUCCACCACCACACCUCUGUCAUUGGGAGCUCUUGUGUAAACAAAGUGUCAUACACAACCUCCUCUGACUGCAAAGAAACACGGGAUAUCAAGAUAGCCAUGUUUCCCUCGUAUACGCUACCGAAGAAUGAUGACACCGGCCCCGAAGCCCUGCAGUGGGGCCCUCGGGGGGUUCAUCCACUGGAAAUGACAUCAUAGCCCACCAGGGAGCCCCACGGGGCUCAACAAACCAGGAACUUUGUGUGCAUGUAUAAUAAUUAGUCUCUGCCAAUCAGCACUUGAGCAGGAUGAGCCAAGAAGCAAAAACAAACCCGAAUCAAAAAAUAUUUACAGUCCACUUAUGUGCAAAGUAUCAAUACACAAAACACGCCUCACGUAUUAAUGCCUGCAAAAAGCAUGCAAAGGGCUUUCUGUGUACACUGCACACUAUAUUCUGACAGCAUCAUUCCAGACAAAGAAUACAACGUUUGAGUAAUGAUGCAUUUCAGACGUGUGUUUAGAGGAGAAACAUUGUG